GACGAACGCUGGCGGCGUGCUUAACACAUGCAAGUCGAACGGAAAGGCCCUGCUUUUGUGGGGUGCUCGAGUGGCGAACGGGUGAGUAACACGUGAGUAACCUGCCCUUGACUUUGGGAUAACUUCAGGCAACUGGGGCUACUACCGGAUAGGAGCUCCUGCUGCAUGGUGGGGGUUGGAAAGUUUCGGCGGUUGGGGAUGGACUCGCGGCUUAUCAGCUUGUUGGUGGGGUAGUGGCUUACCAAGGCUUUGACGGGUAGCCGGCCUGAGAGGGUGAACGGCCACAUUGGGACUGAGAUACGGCCCAGACUCCUACGGGAGGCAGCAGUGGGGAAUAUUGCACAAUGGGCGGAAGCCUGAUGCAGCAACGCCGCGUGCGGGAUGACGGCCUUCGGGUUGUAAACCGCUUUCGCCUGUGACGAAGCGUGAGUGACGGUAAUGGGUAAAGAAGCACCGGCUAACUACGUG
rnacentral:rRNA from 1 species